rnacentral:rRNA from 1 species
UACGGAGGGUCCAAGCGUUGUCCGGAAUCACUGGGUGUAAAGGGUGCGUAGGCGGAUUUGUAAGUCAGAGGUGAAAUCCCACGGCUCAACCGUGGAACUGCUGGGCAUACUGGGAGUCUUGGGCCAUUCAGGGGCAACUGGAACAAGCGGUGGAGCGGUGAAAUGCGUAGAUAUCGUAAGGAAGACCAGUGGCGAAGGCGGGUCUCUGGACAGUUCCUGACGCUGAGGAGCGAAAGCGUGGGGAGCGAACAGG